AAGGUUGGGCCUGCCCGGUGAUCUGAAAUGGUUUAACGGCUGCGAUUGAAACCGUACUAAGGUAGCAUAAUAAUUUGCCCUUUAAUUGGGGGAGAGAAUGAAUGGUUUGACGGUAAAAAAGCUGUUUUAAAAAUAAAAAAAGAAGUUAACUUUUAAGUGAAAAGGCUUAAGUUUUUAUAAAAGACGAGAAGACCCCGUCGAGCUUAAUUAGAACAGCUUAAAUGUAGGUUAUUUAAAAUUUUAUUGGGGCAAUAGAAAAUGAAAUAAAUCAUUUUUUUUUAUUAUAAGGAUCCAGUUUUGACUGAAAAAAGCAAAAGCUACCGCGGGGAUAACAGGGUAAUUUUUUCUGAGAGUUCAUAUUUAAGAAGAAGUUUGCUACCUCGAUGUUGGAUUAGAAUUUCUUUAUGCUUGCAGCAGGUAUAAUAGUAGGACUGUUCGUCCUU
rnacentral:rRNA from 1 species